rnacentral:rRNA from 1 species
CCUACGGGUGACUGCAGUGGGGAAUAUUGCACAAUGGGCGAAACCCUGAUGCAGCGACGCCGCGUGAGGGAAGAAGUAAUUCGUAACGUAAAGCUCUAUCAGCAGGGAAGAAAAUGCAGGUACCUGAGUAUGAAUGAACGGAUAAUUCCGGGCCAGCAGGCGCGGUAAGACGGAGGGGGCAAGCGUUAUCCGGAUUUACUGGGUGUAAAGGGAGUGUAGACGGUAGGACAAGUCUGGGGUGAAAUCCCGGAGCUUAACGGCGGAACUGCCUUUGAAACUGGCGAACUAGAGUGUGGGAGGGGUUAGCGGAAUUCCUGGUGUAGGAGUGAAAUGCGUAGAUAUCAGGAGGAACAUCGGUGGCGAAGGCGGCUUACUGGCACAUAACUGACGUUGAGGCUCGAAAGCGUGGGGAGCAAACAGGAUUAGAUACCCUGGUAGUC